rnacentral:rRNA from 1 species
GACGAACGCUGGCGGCGUGCUUAACACAUGCAAGACGAACGGUGAAGCUCCAGCUUGCUGGAGUGGAUCAGUGGCGAACGGGUGAGUAACACGUGAGCAACCUGCCCCUGACUCUGGAAUAAGCGCUGGAAACGGCGUCUAAUACUGGAUACGAGAAGGGUCCGCAUGGGCACUUUCUGGAAAGUUUUUCGGUUGGGGAUGGGCUCGCGGCCUAUCAGCUUGUUGGUGAGGUAAUGGCUCACCAAGGCGACGACGGGUAGCCGGCCUGAGAGGGCGACCGGCCACACUGGGACUGAGACACGGCCCAGACUCCUACGGGAGGCAGCAGUGGGGAAUAUUGAACAAUGGGCGAAAGCCUGAUGCAGCGACGCCGCGUGAGGGAUGACGGCCUUCGGGUUGUAAACCUCUUUCAGCAGGGAAGAAGCGAAAGUGACGGUACCUGCAGAAGAAGCACCGGCUAACUACGUG